AGAAAAGGCCCUCCUUUAGCUGAGGUAUAAACUACUUUUUCCCAAAUUUUGAGAUGUCUCCACCGAUCUCUGCCCGCAGGGCAGAACCAAGACAGACAGGCGCCCCAAGGAUAAUUUGGACCCUUCCUGGACAAUGUUCUUUCUUCACUUUAUUUUUUUUUAAAUUUUAUUUAUUUUUGACUGUGUUGGGUCUUUGUUGCUGCGUGCGGGCUUUCUCCAGUUGAGGCGAACAGUGGCUUCUCUUCGUUGCGGUGUGUGGGCUUCUCAUUGUGGUGGCUUCUCUUGUCGCAGAGCACAGGCUCUAGGCACGCAGGCUUCCGAAGCUGCAGUAUGCGGGCUCAGCAGUUGUGGCACACAGGCUUCAGAAGUUGUGGCUCGCGGGCUCUAGAGCUCAGGCUUGGUAGUUGUGGCGCACGGGCUUAGUUGCUCUGUGGCAUGUGGGAUCUUCCCAGACCAGGGAUCAAACCUGUGUCCCCUGCAGUGGCAGGCAGAUUCUUAACCACUGCGCCACCAGGGAAGUCCCCUGACAGUGUUCUUUAAAUAACAAUCCAACAUUUAUUUAGAAGUGGCGGCAAUUUUUACAGAUAAAUAUCAUGUAUCCUUUAUGUUUUGUCCAAAGUAAGGGAUCUAUUACAUGCAUCCGUUAGAUGUCAUUCUCCAAACCACACGAGUUAUUGGCAGCCAUAAACAAGUUAAACGGCCUAAAAUGUGGAUAAUGAAAUAAAUCACGCGCUUCCAAUAAAAAGCACUACACUGUGCUGCCUCCAUAGUUUUCAUGAUUCUCGCUGACUCUGACUGUUGGCUCGAGGCGACUCUCGGCUGCCUGAUGUCAGGGCUGGGCUGGGUUUGUGCUGUUGUUCCACCCUAGUUACUCAGGGGAGAGAGACUCAGGUGGCCACACCUGCAGGGUGCGUGGGGGGCAGGAGGCGCCGGAGCGUCAGCCUGGGAAACGUCCAGGUUACCUGCCAGGGUACCUGCCCGGGAGGCAGGUGCAGAGCCUGGGCCUCUAGAACAGUCGGGAGGGUCUGGAACCCCAGGGGAAGUGGCAAAGAGAGCUUCUGCAUUUUCAGCUCAACUCUCUCCUGCACCAUCGGUUCUGAUGCAACACGGGUGCCUCCGUGGGUGCCAAAGGCCCAAGGGCACCUGAACUUUGGCCCAGAGAGCUGCUUCUCCCAUCCUGCGAGGCUGUCAGAGGGUGGGAAGGUGUGUACUCCCCCUGUGCCGAAGGAAUGUCACCCUUUGCCUGGACCGUUGGCGAAUCUCCGUCAAUCGUGGCUUCCUCGGCAGCAGUGGACCCAGUGUCCGUGCCCCAGAUUGUGUCAGGAGUCCAUGUGGAAAGUGGUAACUGACACACGAUCCCAGUCUAUCCCAGCGAGGCCUCAGUGCUCCUGGAGCCCCAGAAGCUCCCCGGAUGGAUGGCCCCUCGUUCUGUCUCUGAACCCAUCACAGCAGAGGCGUUAGGGUCUCCCCAAAGCAGUCACUUGAAGGCGUCCCUCCCGGGCCCUUCCCAUGUCAGGCUUGCUCCCUCCUCUUCCAGACGUGAUGGUGGGGAGGGACACCUGGGUGUCCCCCGGUGUCAGAGGACACCCAGGCCGGCUUCUCUCUCUCCAACUUGCUCAAAGCUUUGACACAGUGACCCAAGGCUGAGAUACUGACUCCACGCUGACAGGUUUGACUAGAGCAGCUCCCUGCGCAUGACAAGGAGAGAGCUGUCGGGCUAAAUGCCAUUCUGACAUUUGAAGGGUGACUCUCAUCUAAUUUUUGGUUGUUUAAAGGCAAGAAGCCUAGAACUCUGUCUUCUUGUUAAAAUGACAAGAAGCAACAAGCAGUUUUUUCUCUUUCUUCUCCCUUAAGAAGUAGGGUCUAAGGGGAACUUGAUGUAUGAUGAACUUACCACCUGGGAGACCUGUCCCUGUGGGAGAGAAACCUGCAAUGCGGUGCAUUUCUGUUCAUCAUCAUCAUCACCGUUACCACACGCUCGCUCGGCAUGCAUGCAAGCAGGACUCUGCCAGGGGCUCUGUCAGGUGAACUGUCACCGUCCCUGACUUCUGGGGUUGCAAAACCCAAGGAAAAGAAUGCUGACGGGCAAAGGGGCGAGUGUAUGGGAACCUCUGGGUGUGCAGCAGUGCUGUGUACAGCAUCACCCACUUUCUAUCAAUAGCUUCCCUGUAAACAGAAUCUGAACAUCUUUGUCAUCUCAGCGUCCACGUCACGGCAGGGAGAGGGGCAACAGUGGGGAGAUGUUGUCAAAGUGACAGCUACUGGAUCAAAGCCCCCAUCCAGCUACUACCCGCAGCUCGGCCCCUCCCCUCCCCAGGACUGGGGCCAGGACCUUCCUCCGGGCUCUCUGAGGCUGGAAGAGCUGGUCCCUCUCCUUUCAGGUCCUCGCAGCCCCACCUUUCGCUGGAGGACAGUUUCUCCUGCUGGUUUGGUUCCUCUGGGCGGUUUGGGGAUUAGUUCCUGAAAACAGGCUGUGGCUUCACUCCCACCUACGCACCUUGGAAUGAGCCUACAGUUUGGGAGGAUUUAUUUGGAAACCUUUUCCAUUCCUCUGGCCAAGAUUACUCAAAGGGUUGGGUCUCUCCAGGAAGAGGAGGCGCUCUUGCGGAACCCACUUGCCCCCAAGGAGACAGAACCCUGUUUCAGGACGAGGUGUUUGUUUCCGACGAGGGUUUUUCAAUCUGGGCACAACUGACAUUUGCGGCUGGAUCGUUCUUUGCUGUGGGUCCUCUCGGCGCCCUGUGGGGUGUUAGCAGCGUCCCUGGCCUCUGCCCACUAGAUGCCCGUGGUACUUCUUCCCUAAGCUGCAUCGAUCAAAACUGUCUCCAGGCGUUGGCAAGCGCUCGGGGGUGUGGGUGAGAGUGGGAGGGUGCAGAAUGCCUUCAGUUGAGGAUCACUGCUUUAGAUGUACUGUAGGUUAAAAUCUUUACCCUAGCAAUAAUAAUUACGCACGCACACAAAGACAACAAUUACUGUUAUUCACGUUAUUAAAUUAGCACAGAAAGCAGAUGGGUCCUAAAGGAAUUUCAGGAUCCCAAACCCCAAACCUUUAGCACUUUGUUAAAGUUCAGGGUCGUUCAUGUUACAUCUGCGGGGUAUAACAAUAGUGACACUAAGAGCAGCCCACAGGACUGAGAGGACCGCGGGCUGCAGACCUGGAGCCCUGAGACCUAGCUUAGCCCUGGGACCCAGCAGGAGGGGAACAGUGGGGUUUGGCCCUUAGUUCCUUCCUUCUUAGAAGGAAGCAAUUGGGCUAAACCUGUGGUUUUCCUGUUUCUUUUGCUGGAAUCCAGGUCGACGGUGGACACACCGCAGUUUAGCAGCAUUGGUGAUCCAAUUGCCCGGGGGGAACACACUCCCUAGUUUGUAGUGGACGUUACCCUUUCUCAUACUUGAUCAGGAGUCCCAGGGCAUUCUGACACUCUGGACGAGAAACGCUGAAGUACAUCGUUUUACUAUCUCUUCCACUCUAAAAUUCUAGAGGCAAAGAGGCUUCUUAUCCUGUCCAGCUUGCCGGUCGGCCAGUCCGGAGGACAGCAUCCUCAGGCCCCGACCCCAGUCCCUGUCUCACCCUCCAAGCUGCCUCUUCGUGUAACCUGCCACACAACUCCUCACUCUGGCCCACUGGUCACAAAUUCAUUCCCCGCCAUUAAGCUUUCCCAUCAGUGAGUCACCUGUUUUUUCAUAGGUUGUGAGACUAGAGCAUACCCUAUGGGUGGGUAAAUAGCCUUUGUCGAAAGAUACUUCCGAGCCCCACUGACUCAUGGGAUCAUCCUGACACCUUCCCCUCCCCCAGCUGCAUUUCUAGAAAGUGUCCUCACGUUUGGUGUCAGUCCCCUCCAGUCAUCAUUCCCAUGGGGUGUUUGUCUGAAGUAGUUACGUGAAGAUAAGAGUUCCAUCUUCACGAAGCGUCUGGAUGGACUGGACUCCUGGCUGCAGCCCACCCUUCUGUCUCUGCCCUUGGCGUGAGGUGUGCAAUCUCCCUGGGUCCCACUUCCGAUCCAUCGAGGCCCUCGGACAUGCGUGGAGGCUCUGCCGUGUGCCGGGCACGUGAGGAUGAGUCAGCCUCGGCCGCCCUCAGAGGAAGCCUCCGUCUAGUAAAGGCUGUGGAUCCAACCCCGUCGCCGUCACACGGGCCGGGUUGUGAAGACGAUUCAACACAGCAGGAGUCAAAUGGCCCAGCGGCCGGGGUGCCAUUGACGUCAGCUCUCAGUGCUGUUAUCGGUUAUUGUUUUCUGAAUAAAAUAAAUGAAAAUUUUUAAGUAAGUGCUAAGCUCUUAGUGGGUACCAAGUUGAAUUGAAUUAAAUAAUUUCUCACUUAGUAUAAGAGAGAGAAAAAGAGAAGAGCAGAAAUGUCUUACUGAUACAGUUUCCUGAGCCUUCGCAGGGCCCGACUGUCCAAGACCAUUGGCCAGGUGUCUGGUGAGCGAGUCUGAGAGGCUUUCCCAGGGCCCAGGGGUGUGACGAUGACACAGCUCUUGGUGACCGUACAGUGUGCUUUGUCUGAGGGACUCGGGCUGGAACUGUGGUCCUUGUGUAUGUGACUCUGGUUUUCAGAUGGAGAAAUUGCACCGUGGGGAACCAUUCUAAAGCACUGACACCGUAUUGCAGGCCACAGGAGGGAGCGCAUCACCUGCGAGCCAGCCCCAGGUCACUCUAGAAUAUUGAUAGGUGUCCCGCGGUGUCUGCCCAAAGCCACCACCCUUCUCCUCCGGCUGCUGCUGCAUCUCCCUAUCUGUGUCUGUGACACUUUGAGCAAGGAUGCCCUCCGCAGUGGGGCUCCCACACUCCAGAAGGACGGGAGCACCUGGUGAGAUGUUUAAAGGCAUCUUCCCUGGCCCCCCAGACACUGACUCAGAGGAAACAGAGACCGAGCAUCAGAAUUCUCAAGCUGCCUGGGAGGCUCUGGUUUAUUUGAUGCUCAGACCACACAUUGAGAGAACAUUUCAGUGGGUGCUACAAAGGUUCUCCGAGUGAGCGAGGUGACAUUGUGUUCCUUGAUUCUGUUCUUUAAUCGCUAAGCUGCACCCUCUCUUUAAACUCCACUAAUGCCACGAUGUGAGGAUACCUCUGGGUUUGAAAAGCCCAUAUUCCAAUAAAACCGCCUGUCACAGCUCUGGAAAAUUAACUACUGACUUCCGUCAUCCCCUUUGUUCAUCCUAGAAAUUUCAGAGCUCUGCAAGAUACACGAUUAUUUUUAAGACUUCAGAUAAUUCUUGUUGCCAAAAUGUUCUGAAAAUCACGAAUUGCUAUAUGAGCUCUCAGUGGUGUUAUUGUACUAGAUUUCCCGACAAUAAAAAUAGGGCUUUUCAUUUCAUCACUUAUAGUAAGUACAGCUAAUACUAAGUAUAAUAAAAAGGGACUUUCUUUUCUCAGAAAGAAAAAUGUUACUCAAGACCUGCUUAGGGAGGGUAUUGAAAAAUAAAAGAACAAUGGUUUUCAACACGUGUAUUUACUAUUAAUUGCAUUUUCAGCCUUUGACACGUCGCUAAUUGAAGGUUCGUUUUAUUUUCCAUGACUUAACUUCAGCAGUUUUUAUCAAUUAUUUCUAAUCAGAAUGACAAAACUGAUUAUUCAUUUGUUUUGAAUUAUUCAUUUUAUUUGAAUGAAAUGGCAUUAUAAUCACCUCGCUGCCUUGUGUCAAAUGUGUUAUAAGAGCACCACGUGCUUCAGAGGUACGCCUCACUUGCACACAACUUUUAAUACCUGUGUGGACGUGUAUACACAUACACAAACACGGAACAAGAGAGCGCUAUGUAGUGGAAUGAGUUUCACGCUGGAUUUAUUUCCUGUGCCUAUGAUCUUCUCAUGAGUUCAUCUUGGGCCAAUCACUGAAGCAAUCCGAACCUCGGCUUUCAUCAGAAAGAAAAUAAGGAGUGUGUGUUUUCAAAGGUGAGAGGGCUCUAGGUAAAAACAGAGAUUUUCCCAAGCGCUGCUUUGGGGUUCCUUUACCAGGGUACAUCUGGAGGAGAGAGUCAGCUCCCCAACCGCACCCAAGACUUCCCUGCAGUUUUGAGGGUGCAGGACACCGACAGUGAGGCUGGAGUAAUGGCAGCCACCUGUGAGGAUCUGCAAGGGUUCGUGAAGGAUUAAGAGAACAGGCUCAGGGGGCCAGCAGCCAAACCCCAGCAAGAGGCCUUGCUGUUGCCCACACACGCUGGCCAAGUCUGGGGCGCCCGGCGGAGCUGGGAGCUGCAGGAGCACACGUGAGACUCCACACCUGAGGGCAGGUGAGGAAGGGUCAGUGUGUCCGAUCAUGGGACCACAAACAUUUUACACUUCCCUUGACUCUGCUCGGAGAAGAAGUAGGGUGUUCAUAUCUUUAAGUCUUAGAUGACAAAACAGAAUUGCAAGGCAUUGAAUGACUUACAUAGAGGUAUAUGUACGUUGUAGUAUAAAUGAUGAUCGCAGAACUUGUGUUCUAAAUUACAUUUUAAACACAGCCCUAUAUGCAAGAUAGAGCCAGCGCGUAGCUACUGCUACACACCUAUUAGAAUGGCUGGAAGUGAAAAGAUUGAUGAGGCCAGAGGUGGAAGAGGAUGUGAGGAAAUGGAACUCUCGUACACAGCUGGUGGAAUGCAAAAUGGUGCCAAAACAUUGGAAACCAGCUUGUCAGUUACUUUACUAAUGCCACCUUCCGACAGCUGUCUACUCCCAGCACUUCCCCCAAAAGAAUGAAGGACUUGUACACAAACAGUCAUAGCAACUUUAUUUGGAAGAGGCCCAAACUGUAAACAGCCCUGGUGCCCAUCAACAGCUGGACGGGAAAUAAACCAUGGCACGCAUGCAACGUUACUCAGUGAUAAAAUGUGUGCUGCUGUCCACAGCGAAGUGGAGAAAUCCACAAUAAUUAUGCCGGCUGACAAAGAAGAAGACACGUUGCGUGGUUCUAUUUACAUAAAAUUCUAGAAAUGAGGAAACUUCGGGGUGUGACAGACAUGUUCAUUUUCUUGAUUGUGGUGACAGUUUCACAGGUACAUUCAUAGGUCAAAACAUCCGAUUGCACAGCUGAGAUAUGUGCAGUUUACUGUAUGUGAACUCUACCUCAUUACAGCUUCUAGGCGAGAAUAAAAAGCCCUGGACAACAAUGAACUCUCCUGCAAUUUUGUCAGUAUGAUUUCGGAAUGUUUGGUCUCAUGAAAUACUUGUAAGAUUUCCAGAGAUUCCUGGGGCCAUUGUAACUCUUUUUUCCUGGGUUCACCAUUGGAUUAAUUCUUGAGGCUUCUUACCUGACUUGUCACCUUGAAAUAUCAGCGAUGUGUGAGAGGGUCAUGAGUGAAAAUCCAGGCACAUAUUUAAAUGCCCAGAGGAGCAGGGCCGACCUACCUCUUUGAAGGGACCAGGACAAAUUCAGGGCCAGAGGGCAGUGCGGAAAAAAUUGGAGCUAAUAGAAUUUAAUUCUCUGUCGAGCAAGCUAUUGAGACAAGCUUGGGCUAUGAAAUCAUAAUUCACAGGAACCUGUCCUGCAUCACCUUCAGGGCUGCGUGGACCAUCAGGCACUCAGGAGAAAGGCGAGAGGAGGUGCCGGUCACAGGGAUCCGGGAGGGUCUGUGCAAGUUCACGGCACACGGCCAGGUUCAAGAGGCUGGUACGGGGAGCCCAGAGAACCCAGCCAACUCCUCCAGGUACCCCGAUCCCAGUCAAAGCAGUGGACACACAGGUAAGGAUAUUUCUUUCACUUGCCGCAUCAAGAGAGUGAAAAAUGCCUGCAGAGCAAGUGCACCUUGUGAAAAAGGGUUUGAGCAAUGGGGACACUGAACCACGUGGUUUCAAUCUACGCUGCCCAUGACUCAUCACACAAGCCCACCUCGUGGCGUCAGAGCCCCUCUGGCUUUGGACUUACGGGCAAAGCAAGGGACUUGGGCUCUAGUCCUGGUUCUGCCACCACCCACUUGUGUGAUCCUACGGAAACGACUUCCAUUCUCUGAUGCCUCACUGAUAGCAGGAGGUGUAAACAGGAGACCAGUCCUCAUGUCUGUGAGCCUGUGAUGUGACUGGGAAGAAUCAUGUUAGAGUUUCUCCCCUUUAGCACAUGUGCUUUGAGUCUAAAGACAUUAUGCGGCUGCAGGACGUACCACCACCAGUGGAUGGAAACUGCAGACUCAGAUUUCUGUUGAACACAAAUCACUGUGCUUGGAAAAUUAAGUCUGUUUGAGCAUAGACUGGGGUAGGAGGUGUCUGCUCCCGAUGGCUUUGCAAGUGGCCUCUUUGAGGGGUGCCCUAGCCCCUAGGCUCCAAACA